AACGAACGCUGGCGGCGUGCCUAACACAUGCAAGUCGAACGAGAAAGGGGCUUCGGCUCCGAGUAAAGUGGCGCACGGGUGAGUAACACGUGGGUAACCUGCCUCUAAGAUUGGGACAACUCGUCGAAAGAUGAGCUAAUACCGGAUAAGACCACAGUUCCUGAGGGAACAGCGGUCAAAGGUAGCCUCUGCUCGCAAGCUAUCACUUAGAGAUGGGCCUGCGUACCAUUAGCUAGUUGGUAGGGUAACGGCCUACCAAGGCAAAGAUGG
rnacentral:rRNA from 1 species